rnacentral:lncRNA from 1 species
CUUUUCCCAGCUCUCACUAGGCAGGGUGGGAGCACUCCUGACAGCUUCAGGGUCUGCAGACCGUCCUCUCGUUCGGUCCAGCGUGUUCUCUGCAAGCUCAGAGCGUCUCGCUUCCCCAGUGCUGACCCAGGAUGAGUACAGAACAGGCGGGGACUCUGCCUUUGUGGGUGCUGUUAGCGCUCAGUCAAGGUAUUAUAAAUUGUUGUUUGGCAUACAAUGUUGGCCUCCCGGAAGCAAAAAUAUUUUCCGGUCCUUCAAGUGAACAGUUUGGCUAUUCAGUGCAGCAAUUUAUAAAUCCAAAAGGCAACUGGUUACUGGUCGGUUCACCUUGGAGUGGCUUUCCAGAGAACCGAAUGGGAGAUGUAUAUAAAUGCCCUGUUGACCUGUCCACUGCUACAUGUGAAAAACUGAAUUUGCAAACUUUAACCAGCAUCCAAAAUGUGACUGAGGUGAAAACUAACAUGAGUCUCGGCUUGACUCUCACAAGGAAUAUGGGAACUGGAGGGUUUCUGGUGAGUGUAUG